UAGAUGGAUUGAUGUACCCCAAGAGCAUAAGGAUGAAUUAAUUGAUCGUGUUCGGGAAACCCAUUGGUCCAAGAAGAAAGAUAAAUUUGUGACACCUGCAACCGAAGACAUUUAUGAUAUGGUAGGAAAGCUGGAUACUCUAGAACCAGAUAAACGAACUGACGAA